rnacentral:rRNA from 1 species
ACCCGCUGAACUUAAGCAUAUCAAUAAGCGGAGGAAAAGAAAAUAACAAUGAUUUCCCUAGUAACGGCGAGUGAAGAGGAAAGAGCUCAAAGUUGGAACCUAUUUGGCUUAGCUAAAUCGGAUUGUAAACUGUAGAAGUGUUUUCCAGACACGCCUGGUAAAAAAGUCCUUUGGAACAGGGCAUCAUAGAGGGUGAGAAUCCCGUCAUUGGCCAGAGCUGUUGUCUUUUGUGAUACAUUUUCAAAGAGUCAGGUUGUUUGGGAAUGCAGCCUAAAUUGGGUGGUAAAUCUCACCUAAAGCUAAAUAUUUGCGAGAGACCGAUAGCGAACAAGUACCGUGAGGGAAAGAUGAAAAGAACUUUGAAAAGAGAGUUAAACAGUAUGUGAAAUUGUUAAAAGGGAACCGUUUGGAGCCAGACUGGCUUAAUCGUAAUCAAUCUAGGCUUUGGCCUGGAUGCACUUGCGGUUUAUGCCGGCCAACGACAGUUUUGUUUGGGAGAAAAAAUUACAUUGAAUGUGGCCCCUCGGGGUGUUAUAGCUUUGUAAAAAAUAUCCUGGACUGGACUGAGGAACGCAGUGAAUGCCUUUAGGCAAGAUUGCUGGGUGCUUUCGCUAAUAAUGCUAGAAUUUCUGCUUCGGGUGGUGCUAGUGUUUAAAGGAGGAACUCGCCUGGUAUAUUUUUUAUUCGCUUAGGUUGUUGGCUUAAUGACUCUAAAUGACCCGUCUUGAAACACGGACC